UAAGAUUUCCACUCUGGAAGGUGGGUUCACUUUUUUGCGUUUUCAACCCUCAAAAAUGCCGUUGCCGUCGAAACAAAAGGCACAUCUCAUCAAAUAUUUUGCUGUUUUCGCCCCAGAG